rnacentral:rRNA from 1 species
AUUGAACGCUGGCGGCAGGCCUAACACAUGCAAGUCGAGCGGAUGAAGGGAGCUUGCUCCUGGAUUCAGCGGCGGACGGGUGAGUAAUGCCUAGGAAUCUGCCUGGUAGUGGGGGAUAACGUCCGGAAACGGGCGCUAAUACCGCAUACGUCCUGAGGGAGAAAGUGGGGGAUCUUCGGACCUCACGCUAUCAGAUGAGCCUAGGUCGGAUUAGCUAGUUGGUGGGGUAAAGGCCUACCAAGGCGACGAUCCGUAACUGGUCUGAGAGGAUGAUCAGUCACACUGGAACUGAGACACGGUCCAGACUCCUACGGGAGGCAGCAGUGGGGAAUAUUGGCCAAUGGGCGAAAGCCUGAUCCAGACAUGCCGCGUGUGUGAAGAAGGUCUUCGGAUUGUAAAGCACUUUAAGUUGGGAGGAAGGGCAGUAAGUUAAUACCUUGCUGUUUUGACGUUACCAACAGAAUAAGCACCGGCUAACUUCGUG